UCUUUCCAAGGCGCCUGCGCUGAACCAGCUUCUCGGCGCCAUUUUGUCUGGGCAGAGGUGGCCGCAGCUGUAUCGCAUUUUAUGUUUCUGGCGAGAGGAGAGCGGAAUCUAUAUCCCGUGAAUUCAUUUAACUGCGGCAGCCAUCCGCCGGUUCCUCCAGGACAGCACCUAGUGAAGGUCGGAAGAGUCCGGAUCUCUCAGAAAGCAAUUGGUCUGAAGAAAACAGAACAGCUCAGUGACAGACAUCUGCAAGUAUUCCUGAAGAAAUUAAUAGAAUAUUCAGCUUCCCCACGCGGUAAUCACCUGUAAUGCCACUGCCUGACUUAAAACUUAUUAUCUGAUCCAAAUGAUGCCUGUCAGUGGGCGUUUGAGAAAAAAGAGAAGUGUCUUGUAUCACGACCACCAAAAGAGGGAGCCUCACUCUGAAAAAAUGGAAAGGUGUUCCAGUUUUUAAAAGACCUGGAUCUGCUAUCUGUUGAAAUUGUAUUUCUGCUACCUGGCUCUGUCCUGCUUCAUGCUGAAGAUGUUCAACUGACGUUAAAUCAGUGAGAUAUUAGAAAUCAUCUAUUAUAAAGUUUCUACCAUAUAUUUCUUUUUUUUAUCUAGUUAUGUGCUCCUAUUUCUGAAACAUGUUACUUUAAAAUCCAGUGGAAAAAAGUUUUCCCAAGUACCCAUCAUGCCCUACAGCUUCAUCUUCCAUUUUGCUACACAUCAGAAAUCUCUUAAAAUUCUUUAAUAACCAUUUGUUGCCAUAUUCUUUUUUAAGCUAUACCCAAAUCAAUGAUUCUCACAUUUUAGUGUAUUCAGUAGCAUUACAUCAGGUACUUGUUCAAAAUAGAUUCAUGAGACUCAAUUCAGAUCUCAUGAAUUCACUUCUUUGUAAAUUUAUGCAGGUGGUCUCUUAACCAGAUGGAGAAACAGUAAUCUGCUGCAUGUGUGCCCAUUUGUCAUCUCUUCUUCAUUCUCUUACAUGAAACAUUCUUUUUACUUCGUUUCAAUUAUUGACAUCUCAGUUUUUUUCCUAUAAUUGUUGACAUCCUUAGCUUUUCUCCUAAGUUCAGUGGUUGAAGAGUUUAUCCACCAGAUAUCCAGGAAACGGUUCAAGAUGCCUUUCCUUAUUUGUCAGGAUUUAUCACUUCCCCUCGCCAAAGCACACACGUUUGGAGGUCAGUAUAUACAUACUGGCUAUGUGUACAUAAUAAUACAUGCACAUGUAUUUCUAAUAUAUCUUGCUAGUGAUUUUUAAAGGUCUUUUUCCCAAAGGGGGAAGAACUGCAUAAUACUUGGUUUUAUUUUUAGUUUUUCCUGGCAAUAUGAUAUAUUGUAGACAUCUAAAUAUUUGCAUUGAAUCUUUACUGUGCUAUCACUUGAUUGCUGCUGACUCUUAAACCCAGUCUACUAAAGGUGGGUUAUUGUUUUUCUAUGUCAGAUUUUCCCAUAUUACAUUAGCCUUGAAGCCCGUUGACUUUUUAUUCAAGUUUUUAAUAAAUUCCAUAUUGACUGUACAGUUGAACUCAUUUAAAUGAUUUUUCCUAAAAUUCCACUUCAUGGUUCCACAUAGUAAAAAGUCAAAUUCCAAUCAUACAAAUCAAACACAAACUCAAGAUGUAUUAGGACCCUUGCUCUGUAACAGUCUUUAUAAUUACACCAGCAUUUACUUUAAGAAUUGUUAUUUGUUGACUGAAAGGUGUGUGUCUGUGUGUGUGUAUGUAUAUUAUGGUGAUUACCUCUUACAGAGUUAGGAUGGUUAAAGAAAGAACAUUAGUUUUAUUUGUAAUACAAAUUUGAGUCUUUUCCCCAUUUUUUAAAAUCGGGUUGUUCAAUUUUCAGAGUUUUUAUACAUUCUGGUCUGCUAUCCUUUGUCAGAUGUGAUUUAUUUUCCCUAGAAUCUUUUCCCUUUCAUCCUCUUAAAGGAGAGCAGAAGCUUUUAAUUCAGGUGAUAUUCAGUUUGUCAGUUUUUUUCAUUUAUGUAUCAUGCUUUUGGUGUAUUAUAGUAUCUGAGAACUCUUCUUUAAACCAGGGUCAUAAAGACUCUUUUUUUCAUCCAGAAGUUUUAGACUUUGAGGUACAUUUUGACUCACCAUCACUUUGAGUUAAUUUCUGUAUAUGGUACAAGGUAUGGUUUGGUUUUGGGUAAGUUUCUUUUUGUAUACAGAUGUCCCCGUUGUUCCAGCACCAUUUGUGGAAAAGCACUGUCUUUCUCCACUGAUGCGUCUUUUCACCUCUGUCACAAUCAACCAUGUGUUUAAUGAGUCUAUUUUUAGACUUUUCUUUUCUAUUAAUAAUAUUACAUUAAAUUUAUAGUUAAGUCUUGAAAUCAGAUGGCAUAGGCCUUGUAACUUUUUCUUUUUAGAAAAUGUUUUGGCUAUUCUGAUCUCUUUUCCCAAAUAAAUGUUAGCAAUAGCUUGUUGAUUUCUUUACACACACCCCACACAUACACUCCCCAAAUAAACCACUUGCAAAUUUGAUUGGGUUUUACAUUAAAUCUGUAGAUCAUUUUAGAGAGAACUGACAACAAUACUGAGUCUUCCCAUAACUUUAGUUCAUUUUCUCACCAGCAUUUUUAAUUUCCAACACAAAAUCUUGUACAAAUUUAAAUUUAUACCUUAGUAUCCCUGUUUUCGAUGUUAUUAUAAGUGGGUAUAAUUAUUGUAUAGAUGAAGGAAUAGUAACUUGCCCAAGCUGAAGUAGCAAAGCCAGUAUGAAACCUACAUUAGGUUAUAAACCACUAUCCUGGUUUUCAUUAUGAUACUGUUUUUCUUAUUCUGAAAUCAUGGUUAUAGUGGUGGCAGAGAGGAAGCCCUAGUUUUAUGGCAAGAAAAAUCCCAUUACCAUGCAGGUAUGAUUCCUCCAGAGUUUAUGGAUUUCCUGAGUUUAGGUUUUCCAGAUCUGCUCAGAUCAUAAACCAUGCUUAUCUUAAUUUAGAAGCCUCUGAUCAGUACAGUUGUGAACUAGUAUUUUUAAGUAUAUCUUACCCUUUAGUUAACUAGCAUGAAUUAUUUCAUUUUUAAAAAUACAUACCCUUCGCAUUUGAAUCCCUACCGUGUGCUCACCAGUACAGAUACAAAGAUGAUUUCUUGAACAACUCCCAUGGGAGGCUAGGUGGGGCGGAAUACAUUUAUUAUAGUAAGUAUUAAACACUGUAAUAAAUACAUACACAUGGUCAGUAGAAGCUUUUACUUGGUUGCAAUUAAGAGUAGCUGUACUCUUGUUUCAUGUUUUAGAAUUCCUUUUAAAAAAUAAUUUGAAAACAGUUAAGUGGAAAACAUGUAAAGGGCUUUGAGAGGGAGAAAUCUGUCAGUCAUUUCAUAAGGAUUGCUUUUGCACUUGAUGGGGAAUCCUUAGGAAAGACCAGUUAAUAAAUAACCUAGGCAUGAUAAAUGCAAUAUGGUGUCAUACACUGUAGGAAAGUAAAAAAGGUUCAGUAUGAGUUUCAUUUCAAAAGGUGAGGAACAAUAUUUGAGUUUUUACAUUAAGACUUCAUUUUUUUCAUUUGUGGAUUUCUUCUGACUUAACAGCAUUUAGAUAAAUGUAUUAAUGAGAAUUAAUCUGUAAUCUGAAUUUGCUCUUCAAAUAUUGAGUAUUCUAAUGUUUCAGUUAAAUAUAGAGGAUUUACAACUUAAAUUUUUCUUAUUUUUCAGAUCCCCUUGUGAAUGAUAGAAAUGAAAGUGAAUGGAUAGUCUUAUCAGAUAAGUGUUUCUUCAGUCUAAAUGUAUUUUUUUCCAUAAGAUGGCUCUAGUGUUAAUCUUUAUUCGAAACAAUUGUUACAUUGUAUCAUGACAGCUGACAUAUCAGCAUGCACUUUAAAAAAUGUUAUAAAAAUGGGUGAAUUUUUGUGUAGCUAUUUUAAUAUUGAAGAUGGAAGAAGAAAAACAUUUUCAGCAUAUUGUGCCUUUUUAUUUCAAGAAAGGUAAAAAUGCUACUGAAACACAAAGAUUUAUGCAGAAUAUGGAGAUGGUGCUGUGACUGAUCAAACAUCUUGCAAGUGGUUUGCGAAGUUUCAUAUUGGAGAUUUCUCACUGGACCAUGCUCCCACUUAAACUAGCUAAAACUUGAUGAAAAGUGUCUGUAAUUAAUCAAUAGAAAAAGCAUAGUCUUCCAUCAGGAAAACACAAGACUGAAUGUUUGGUGACCAGGCAAAAACUGUCUUAGUUUGGCUGGUAAGUUGAUUCGUUUUCCAUAUUCUCCAGACAGUAAGCCUUCAGAUUUACAUUUAGUUUGGUCUUUAAAAAAUUAUCUUAAUGGAAAAAAUUUCAAUUCCCUAGAAGACUGUAAAAGGCAUCUGAACAGUUCUUUGCUCAAAAAGAUAAAAAGUUUUGUUAAGUUGGAAUUAAAAAGUUGCCUAAAAAAUGUCAGAAGAUAGUGAAAUAAAACAGUGACUACAUUCUUCAAUAAAGUUAUUGGUGAAAAGGAAAAAA